rnacentral:rRNA from 1 species
AGGCAGCAGUUGGGAAUUUUGGGCAAUGGGCGAAAGCCUGACCCAGCAACGCCGCGUGAAGGAUGAAGUAUUUCGGUAUGUAAACUUCGAAAGAAUGGGAAGAAUAAAUGACGGUACCAUUUAUAAGCUCCGGCUAACUACGUGCCAGCAGCCGCGGUAAUACGUAGGGAGCAAGCGUUGUUCGGAUUUACUGGGCGUAAAGGGCGCGUAGGCGGCGCGGUAAGUCAGCUGUGAAAUCUCCGAGCUUAACUCGGAACGGCCAGCUGAUACUGCAGUGCUAGAGUGCAGAAGGGGCAAUCGGAAUUCUUGGUGUAGCGGUGAAAUGCGUAGAUAUCAAGAGGAACACCUGAGGUGAAGACGGGUUGCUGGGCUGACACUGACGCUGAGGCGCGAAAGCCAGGGGAGCAAACAGGAUUAGAUACCCCGGUAG